AGAGUUUGAUCCUGGCUCAGAACGUACGCUGGCGGCACGCCUAACACAUGCAAGUCGAACGAAGUAGCAAUACUUAGUGGCAGACGGGUGAGUAACAUGUAGGUAUCUGCCCUUUGGCCUGGAAUAACACGAGGAAACUUGUGCUAAUACCGGAUAAGUCUUUACGGAGAAAGCUUUAUGCACCAUUGGAUGAGCCUGCACUUGAUUAGUUUGUUGGUGGGGUAAUGGCCUACCAAGACUGUGAUCAAUAGCUGAUUUGAGAGGAUGAUCAGCCACAUUGGGACUGAGACACGGCCCAAACUCCUACGGGAGGCAGCAGUGGGGAAUCUUGCACAAUGGAGGAAACUCUGAUGCAGCGAUGCCGCGUGAGUGAAGAAGGCCCUUGGGUUGUAAAGCUCUUUCGUCGGGGAAGAAAAUGACUGUACCCGAAUAAGAAGGUCCGGCUAACUUCGUGCCAGCAGCCGCGGUAAUACGAAGGGACCUAGCGUAGUUCGGAAUUACUGGGCUUAAAGAGUUCGUAGGUGGUUGAAAAAGUUAGUGGUGAAAUCCCAGAGCUUAACUCUGGAACUGCCAUUAAAACUUUUCAGCUAGAGUAUGAUAGAGGAAAGCAGAAUUUCUAGUGUAGAGGUGAAAUUCGUAGAUAUUAGAAAGAAUACCAAUUGCGAAGGCAGCUUUCUGGAUCAUUACUGACACUGAGGAACGAAAGCAUGGGUAGCGAAGAGGAUUAGAUACCCUCGUAGUCCAUGCCGUAAACGAUGUGUGUUAGACGUUGGAAAUUUAUUUUCAGUGUCGCAGCGAAAGCGAUAAACACACCGCCUGGGGAGUACGACCGCAAGGUUAAAACUCAAAUGAAUUGACGGGGACCCGCACAAGUAGUGGAGCAUGUGGUUUAAUUCGAAGAUACGCGCAGAACCUUACCAACACUUGACAUGUUCGUCGCGACUCUAAGAGAUUAGAGUUUUCGGUUCGGCCGGACGAAACACAGGUGCUGCAUGGCUGUCGUCAGCUCGUGUCGUGAGAUGUUGGGUUAAGUCCCGCAACGAGCGCAACCCUCACUUUUAGUUGCCAUCAUUAAGUUGGGCACUCUGAAAGAACUGCCAGUGAUAAGCUGGAGGAAGGUGGGGAUGACGUCAAGUCCUCAUGGCCCUUACGUGUUGGGCUACACACGUGCUACAAUGGUAUCUACAACAGGAAGCAAGACUGCGAAGUUAAGCAAAUCCCUAAAAGAUACCUCAGUUCGGAUUGCACUCUGCAACUCGAGUGCAUGAAGCUGGAAUUACUAGUAAUCGUGGAUCAGCGUGCCACGGUGAAUGCGUUCCCGGGUCUUGUACACACCGCCCGUCACACCAUGGGAGUUGGUUCUACCUUAAGGCAAGGUUUCAAACCCUUGACCACGGUAUAGUCAGCGACUGGGGUGAAGUCGUAACAAGGUAACC
rnacentral:rRNA from 3 species